rnacentral:rRNA from 1 species
UACGUAGGCAGCAAGCGUUGUUCGGAGUUACUGGGCGUAAAGGGUGUGUAGGCGGUUUUCUAAGUCUGGUGUGAAAUCUCCCGGCUCAACUGGGAGGGUGCGCCGAAAACUGGAAGGCUAGAGUGCGGGAUGGGAGAGUGGAAUUCCUGGUGUAGCGGUGAAAUGCGCAGAUAUCAGGAAGAACACCAAUGGCGAAGGCAGCUCUCUGGGACGGUACUGACGCUGAGACGCGAAAGCGUGGGGAGCGAACAGG